AUUGAACGCUGGCGGCAGGCUUAACACAUGCAAGUCGAGCGGAGAUGAGGUGCUUGCACCUUAUCUUAGCGGCGGACGGGUGAGUAAUGCUUAGGAAUCUGCCUAUUAGUGGGGGACAACAUUCCGAAAGGAAUGCUAAUACCGCAUACGUCCUACGGGAGAAAGCAGGGGAUCUUCGGACCUUGUGCUAAUAGAUGAGCCUAAGUCGGAUUAGCUAGUUGGUGGGGUAAAGGCCUACCAAGGCGACGAUCUGUAGCGGGUCUGAGAGGAUGAUCCGCCACACUGGGACUGAGACACGGCCCAGACUCCUACGGGAGGCAGCAGUGGGGAAUAUUGGACAAUGGGGGGAACCCUGAUCCAGCCAUGCCGCGUGUGUGAAGAAGGCCUUAUGGUUGUAAAGCACUUUAAGCGAGGAGGAGGCUACUGAGACUAAUACUCUUGGAUAGUGGACGUUACUCGCGGAAUAAGCACCGCCUAACUCUGUGCCAGCAGCCGCCGUAAGAC
rnacentral:rRNA from 1 species